rnacentral:rRNA from 1 species
AUGAACGCUGGCGGCGUGCCUAAUACAUGCCAGUCGAGCGAACGGACGAGAAGCUUGCUUCUCUGAUGUUAGCGGCGGACGGGUGAGUAACACGUGGAUAACCUACCUAUAAGACUGGGAUAACUUCGGGAAACCGGAGCUAAUACCGGAUAAUAUUUUGAACCGCAUGGUUCAAAAGUGAAAGACGGUCUUGCUGUCACUUAUAGAUGGAUCCGCGCUGCAUUAGCUAGUUGGUAAGGUAACGGCUUACCAAGGCAACGAUGCAUAGCCGACCUGAGAGGGUGAUCGGACACACUGGAACUGAGACACGGUCCAGACUCCUACGGGAGGCAGCAGUAGGGAAUCUUCCGCAAUGGGCGAAAGCCUGACGGAGCAACGCCGCGUGAGUGAUGAAGGUCUUCGGAUCGUAAAACUCUGUUAUUAGGGAAGAACAUAUGUGUAAGUAACUGUGCACAUCUUGACGGUACCUAAUCAGAAAGCCACGGCUAACUACGUG